AAAUUGAAGAGUUUGAUCAUGGCUCAGAUUGAACGCUGGCGGCAGGCCUAACACAUGCAAGUCGAACGGUAACAGGAAGCAGCUUGCUGCUUCGCUGACGAGUGGCGGACGGGUGAGUAAUGUCUGGGAAACUGCCUGAUGGAGGGGGAUAACUACUGGAAACGGUGGCUAAUACCGCAUAACGUCGCAAGACCAAAGAGGGGGACCUUCGGGCCUCUUGCCAUCAGAUGUGCCCAGAUGGGAUUAGCUUGUUGGUGAGGUAACGGCUCACCAAGGCGACGAUCCCUAGCUGGUCUGAGAGGAUGACCAGCCACACUGGAACUGAGACACGGUCCAGACUCCUACGGGAGGCAGCAGUGGGGAAUAUUGCACAAUGGGCGCAAGCCUGAUGCAGCCAUGCCGCGUGUAUGAAAAAGGCCUUCGGGUUGUAAAGUACUUUCAGCGGGGAGGAAGGUGUUG
rnacentral:rRNA from 1 species